rnacentral:rRNA from 1 species
GACGUAGGGCGCGAGCGUUGUCCGGAAUUAUUGGGCGUAAAGAGCUCGUAGGCGGCUUGUCGCGUCUGCUGUGAAAACUCGGGGCUUAACUCCGGGCCGCAGUGGGUACGGGCAGACUAGAGUGCGGUAGGGGAGACUGGAAUUCCUGGUGUAGCGGUGAAAUGCGCAGAUAUCAGGAGGAACACCGGUGGCGAAGGCGGGUCUCUGGGCAAUUCCUGACGCUGAGGCGCGAAAGCGUGGGGAGCAAACGGG